rnacentral:rRNA from 1 species
AACGAACGCUGGCGGCAGGCUUAACACAUGCAAGUCGAACGAGAUCUUCGGAUCUAGUGGCAGACGGGUGAGGAACACGUGGGAACAUCCCUUUCAGUUCGGAAUAACGUUGGGAAACUAACGCUAAUACCGGAUAUGUCCUUCGGGAGAAAGAUUUAUCGCUGAAAGAUUGGCCCGCGUCUGAUUAGCUAGUUGGUGAGGUAGUGGCUCACCAAGGCUACGAUCAGUAGCUGAUCUGAGAGGAUGAUCAGCCACAUUGGGACUGAGACACGGCCCAAACUCCUACGGGAGGCAACAGUGGGGAAUAUUGGACAAUGGGCGCAAGCCUGAUCCAGCCAUGCCGCGUGAGUGAUGAAGGCCUUCGGGUUGUAAAGCUCUUUUAUCCGGGAAGAUAAUGACUGUACCGGAAGAAUAAGCCCCGGCAAACUUCGUGCCAGCAGCCGCAGUAA